UACGUAGGGGGCAAGCGUUGUCCGGAAUCAUUGGGCGUAAGCGCGUGUAGGCGGCUUGGUAAGUCCGCCCUGAAAGCCCGGGGCUCAACCCCGGGAGGCGGGUGGAUACUGUCAAGCUCGAGUCCGGAAGAGGCGAGUGGAAUUCCUGGUGUAGCGGUGAAAUGCGCAGAUAUCAGGAGGAACACCAAUGGCGAAGGCAGCUCGCUGGGACGUGACUGACGCUGAGACGCGAAAGCGUGGGGAGCAAACAGG
rnacentral:rRNA from 1 species